UGAUCCGUGGCCUAACAGGCAGGACGCUCGACUGUUAAUCGAGACGGUGCAAGUUCGAAUCUUGCCGGAUCAGCC
rnacentral:tRNA from 1 species